UCAUAGUUGAUGAGCACGCUGCACGCCUAUAUUGAAAACAAGUAAAGUAGUAAUUUCCAACUAACAAGUGCCAUCGCCAUUUCAACCAACCAAAUCGAGACGCUGAUUCAUUCUAUUCUCUGCUGCAAUGGUACUCUCGCGCCUUCGUCACCCUCUCAUCUCUCGUUCCCUUCGCUUCCUCUCUUCCUCCACCAGAUCCAUUUCACGAACUUCUAAUUCAAGGAAUUUUUCUGUGGAUAGUGUUGGAAAUCUAAGGCCUGCAUCUUGCUCUAGGCUUACUGGAGUUUGUCUUUGUGAUAGUUCUUUUAAGUCAAAGUGGAUUGAUGUCAAAUACUUCUCAUCUUCAG